UACGUAGGGUGCAAGCGUUAUCCGGAAUCAUUGGGCGUAAAGCGUUUGUAGGCGGUUUGGAAAGUUUGUAGUUAAAUCUGGUCGCUCAACGAUCAACUCGCUACAAAAACUCCCAAGCUAGAGAUUGGCAGAGGCAACUGGAAUUCCACAUGUAGGGGUAAAAUCCGUUGAUAUGUGGAGGAACACCAAAAGCGAAGGCAGGUUGCUGGGCCAUUUCUGACGCUGAGGAACGAAAGCGUGGGGAGCAAACAGG
rnacentral:rRNA from 1 species